UACGUAGGGUGCAAGCGUUAAUCGGAAUUACUGGGCGUAAAGCGUGCGCAGGCGGUGAUGUAAGACAGGUGUGAAAUCCCCGGGCUUAACCUGGGAACUGCAUUUGUGACUGCAUCGCUGGAGUGCGGCAGAGGGGGAUGGAAUUCCGCGUGUAGCAGUGAAAUGCGUAGAUAUGCGGAGGAACACCGAUGGCGAAGGCAAUCCCCCUGGGCCUGCACU
rnacentral:rRNA from 1 species